rnacentral:lncRNA from 1 species
GAACCACAGUGAUCUGACAUGAAGGGAAACUUUCCUCUAAUUUCUUCAGCUCCAAGACGGCUCCCAAUUCCUGUGUCUCUGACAUCUUUGAGAUCCUUGUGAUUGUUGCUAUUGAAGCCCAUCAGUGGGGUAUGUUACCACUGGAUGGCAUAUGAUACCCUGGUUUCAUGGAGCCCUGCUUGCCAAAUGGAAGAAAGGAACCAAUGCUGACUGGAGAUCUCACUGGAUGCUUUUCCACCAACUUUUUGUUCAGCCUAUGAUGAGAAAAUUGAGUCCCAGAGAUGCCAAGUAGCAUGCCCAAAGCCACAUGGCUAGUAAGUAGCAGAUCCAGAAUAAUUCCUGUGUGAGAGCUUUUAACCCAACCCAGAGCAACCACUCAUAACUUGCCAUUGUAAGUAUAGCCUCUGGGUUCUCCUUCCUUCUAGGAUCAUGUUCAUCUUAAUACGUACAAGAAAACCAUUCUCUCUCUCUCUCUCCCCCAAGGUGUUAGAAAUCUUUUGCCCUUUGCUUCCCUGUCUGCUAGGCUCCCUUCUGGGACAGAUGGUUUGUCUGAUGGGUGAGCUGGUG